GAUGAACGCUAGCUACAGGCUUAACACAUGCAAGUCGCGGGGCAGCAUGGGGGUUGCUUGCAAUCCCCGAUGGCGACCGGCGCACGGGUGAGUAACGCGUAUCCAACCUGCCCUUCACCACGGGAUAACCCGGCGAAAGUCGGACUAAUACCGUAUGUUGUCCAUUGACGGCAUCCGAUUUGGACGAAAGGUUUGGCGGUGAAGGAUGGGGAUGCGUCCGAUUAGCUGGACGGCGGGGUGACGGCCCACCGUGGCGACGAUCGGUAGGGGUUCUGAGAGGAAGGUCCCCCACACUGGAACUGAGACACGGUCCAGACUCCUACGGGAGGCAGCAGUGAGGAAUAUUGGUCAAUGGGCGUAAGCCUGAACCAGCCAAGUAGCGUGCAGGAUGACGGCCCUAUGGGUCGUAAACUGCUUUUAUGCGGGGAUAAAGUGGCCCACGUGUGGGUUUUUGCAGGUACCGCACGAAUAAGGACCGGCUAAUUCCGUG
rnacentral:rRNA from 1 species